UUUGGGAUUAGAUUUCUGGAGUUGGAACGGCGUUCAAAUUCAAUUCGUACACCAAGUUAUCACCUGAUUACUACUAAACACACACAGCACUAAACGUUGCCGCGAAACAGGGUAUUAACUCGAUCGCUGCUACGAUUCAAUAUCCGAUCGAUUGAAACUAUCCAACCGGAUGUUUAAGUAUUAUCCUUUGUCAUUAGUCGUGAUUCCGACAGGAUGUUUGAGUACCACCCGAACUCGGGGAAUACUCUGUCAUUCGUUGUGAAUCCGAUGGAUGUUUAAGUGAUUGCACUUUGUUUGUGAAGGUUUUAAUCUCGUGAGUUAUCGUAAAUGUUGUAUUAGUUACUUACCUAGUUCGUGUGCACUAGGUUACAAGGCUAACCAGUAGGCUAAUCUCUGCCUGUAUAAAUCUGCAAUAUAUCAAGGCUUAUCUGUAGAUUAAACUUUGGCCGUAUGAAUCUGCAUGCUUAUAAUGUAAUUACAGUAGAUUGGAGUAAGAGUUGGAUGCGGCACUGA
rnacentral:lncRNA from 1 species